AACGAACGCUGGCGGCAGGCCUAACACAUGCAAGUCGAGCGCGCCCUCCGGGCUGAGCGGCGGACGUGGGAGUAACGCGGGGGAACUUGCCCUUCUCUGCGGAAUACCCUCGUGAAACUUAAAGUAAUACCGCAUACGCUAAUUCGGGGUAAGAGUUAUCGGUGCAGGCUCGGGGCGCGUUGGAUUAGGUAGUUGGUGGUGUAAUGGCCGGCCAACCCGUCGUUGCAGAGCUGGUUGGUGAGGAUGACCUACCAGACUGGGACUGAGGCCCGGCCCAGCCUCCUACGGGAGGCAGGAGUGGGGAAUCUUAGGCACUGGGGGCAAACCUGAUCUCGCCGUGCCGGGUGAGUGAUGAAGGCCUUAGGGUUGUAAAGCUCUUUGAGCUGGGAAGAUAAUGACGGUAACGGCAGAAGAAGCCCCGGCUAACUCCGUG
rnacentral:rRNA from 1 species